rnacentral:misc_RNA from 1 species
GAUGAAGAACGCAGCGAAAUGCGAUAAGUAAUGUGAAUUGCAGAAUUCAGUGAAUCAUCGAAUCUUUGAACGCACAUUGCGCCCCUUGGUAUUCCGAGGGGCAUGCCUGUUCGAGCGUCAUUAUAACCCCUCAAGCUCAGUUUGGUGUUGGGGCCUGCUGCACUGGCAGCCCUUAAAAUCAGUGGCGGCGCCAUCUGGCUCUAAGCGUAGUAAUUCUUCUCGCUAUGGAGUCCUGGUGGAUGCUUGCCAUCAACCCCCAAUUUUUCUAUGGUUGACCUCGGAUCAGGUAGGGAUACCCGCUGAACUUAAGCAUAUCAAUAAGCGGAGGA